UGCGUAGGCGGAAUAUUAAGUCAGUGGUGAAAUCCUGCGGCUCAACCGUAGAACUGCCAUUGAUACUGAUAUUCUUGAAUGUAGUUGAGGUAGGCGGAAUGUGUAAUGUAGCGGUGAAAUGCUUAGAUAUUACACAGAACACCGAUUGCGAAGGCAGCUUACUAAACUAUGAUUGACGCUGAGGCACGAAAGCGUGGGGAGCGAACAGGAUUAGAUACCUUGGUAGUCC
rnacentral:rRNA from 1 species